rnacentral:rRNA from 1 species
AUUGAACGCUGGCGGCAUGCCUAACACAUGCAAGUCGAGCGGAGCGGCGGACGGGUGAGUAAUGCCUAGGAAUCUGCCUGGUAGUGGGGGAUAACGUCCGGAAACGGGCGCUAAUACCGCAUACUAUCAGAUGAGCCUAGGUCGGAUUAGCUAGUUGGGGGGGUAACGGGUCACCUAGGCGACGAUCCCUAGCUGGUCUGAGAGGAUGACCAGCCACACUGUAACUGAGAAACGGGCCAGACUCCUACGGGAGGAAGCAGUGGGGAAUAUUGCAAAAUGGGCGAAAGGCUGAUGCAGCCAUGCCGCGUGUGUGAAGAAGGCCUUCGGGUUGUAAAGCACUUUCAGCGGGGAGGCGUUACCCGCAGAAGAAGCACCGGCUAACUCCGUGCCAGCAGCCGCGGUAAUUC